rnacentral:rRNA from 1 species
AACGAACGCUGGCGGCGUGCUUAACACAUGCAAGUCGAACGGAAAGGCCCGGCUUUUGUGCGCUGCUCGAGUGGCGAACGGGUGAGUAACACGUGGGUACCCUGCCCUUGACUUUGGGGUAACUUCAGGAAACUGGGGCUAAUCCCGGCUAGGAUCUCCUGCUUCAGGGUGGGGGUUCGUAAGUUUCGGCGGUUGGUGGUGGACUGGCGGCUUAUCGGCUUGGUGGUGGGGUAGUGGAUUACCAAGGCUUUGAACGGUAGCCGGCCUGCGCGGGGGACAGGCCCCACUGGGAUUGAGAUACGGCCCAGACUCGAACGGGAGGCAGGGGUGGGGAAGAGUACACAAGGGGCGGAAGGCUGAUGCGGCAAAGCCGCGUGGGGGAUGACGGGCUUCGGGUUGGAAACCGAUGUCGCUUGUGACGAAGCGUGAGUGACGGUAAUGGGUAAAGAAGCACCGGCUAACUACGUG